rnacentral:rRNA from 1 species
AUGACAGCAAAUAAGGACAAAGGGCACGAGAUUUUAAUAAAUACAGAGACGACAACAGUAACAGUCAGCCACAUGGCACAAAGCUUCGACAUUGGAAAGCCAGUGUGCAGCGAAACCAUGGCAGUCAUUCUACAGAUGUUGAAAAAGCAACUCAGGGGCACAAAAAGAAAGAUUCUAUCAACAUACAACACCGGAUCAAUACGCAUGGCCAACCAUGAAGAUCCAUUGGAGUUGAAAAAUAAAGACGAAGCACACAUCAGAGACAAGACAAUUCCUAAAAGGCUUAAAAGAUUCCUUGAUCUGGAAGAAGGAGAGAAACUACAAGAUUUCGACAUGACUCGACUUCCAGAGUUGAGAAAGAAAAUUCUCUAUCAAAUAUUCUGCCAAUACAGAGAUACGGCCGCACUAUCAUUAAUCAACUACACCACAGAUAUGCUGAAACCUGAGGUCGAUAUGGAAGACAGUGAAAUGGAACAAAUACAUUGUGACAUAAUUCAACAAGAGAUUCCUCCAACUCGCGAGCAAAUUGGGACAAGCGCUCAAGAGAUAAAAGUUAUUGACAUUAAUGACACAAGCAGUGAUGAGGAGAAAGAAGAUUAUCAUUUGAGUGGCAAGGAUACCACCAAGGUGUCUGAAGAAGCACUCACGAAAGAACAAGCCCAGAAAGAUUUUGGUUUACAUAGGGAACAACACGCGCAGACAGACACUGAUUUACAAAAGGAAGACGAACGGAAAGAUCCGCCGAUAGAACCAGACAGACCACCCCCAGAUAAAAACAACGAAGGCAUAACACGCUCUCCUUUAGAAGUGGAUAACAGGACAAAGACCGUACCAACUCGCCAACAACAGCUUUCCAAACAGGACAUUAACCCUGGUGGCGAAGAUCGCGUACCAAGAACAUCACCAGAGACAGAACAUGCACAAGAAGAAAAGAAGGAGAAAGGAAAGAUUUUAUCAGAAAAGAUACUUCAAAACAGGAAAUAUGAUGCUGAAGCCUCAAUAGGACCGAGCACCAAAAACAACAACACACAAAAGGACACACCAACAACUGGGCAGCUUAACGAGUAG